rnacentral:tRNA from 4 species
GCGGGGUGGAGCAGCCUGGUAGCUCGUCGGGCUCAUAACCCGAAGGUCGUCAGUUCAAAUCUGGCCCCCGC